rnacentral:rRNA from 1 species
AACGAACGCUGGCGGCAGGCUUAACACAUGCAAGUCGAACGCUCGUAGCAAUACGGGAGUGGCGGACGGGUGAGUAACGCGUGGGAACGUGCCCUGAGGUACGGAAUAACUGCGGGAAACUGCAGCUAAUACCGUAUGAGCCCCGUGAGGGGGAAAGAUUUAUCGCCUUAGGAGCGGCCCGCGUCGGAUUAGCUAGUUGGUGGGGUAACGGCUUACCAAGGCUUCGAUCGGUAGCUGGUCUGAGAGGAUGAUCAGCCACACUGGGACUGAGACACGGCCCAGACUCCUACGGGAGGCAGCAGUGGGGAAUAUUGGACAAUGGGCGCAAGCCUGAUCCAGCAAUGCCGCGUGUGUGAAGAAGGCCUCGGUUGUAAGCACUUUGUUGGUAAGAAAGAGGCCGGUAAUACCGGUCGUGUUGACGGUACCAACGAAUAAAGACACCGGCUAACUUCGUGCCAGCAGCCGCGGUAACUGUAGUCGUGU